AGGAGUGACCGUCAAAAUGAAGGCUUCAAAGAGCCAUCAGUCCAUUCAUUAUUGCACGUGCAGUUCAAGGCUUGGAACUGCAGAGGUGGUGCAGGUUAACGAAGGAGGUCUUGACAAGUGGGAAUGUGUUCAAAAAGGACUGCUUUCCAUAAAGUGGAAUCUAAAGUGCUGAAAUAAUUGGAUGAAUUUGAGAGUAAAAUCUCAGUCGUUGAUGAAUAAAAUAGAUAAUGUAGUCCGAAAUGAAUUAAUGUGAAUAUCAUUUGAUUUUUUUCUGCUUAUGGAUUUAUUGUUAGUUUAUCUAAACUAAGGAGCAGUCUGAACAAAGGAAGAAGAGCAUGCACAGGAAUUUAAUUUGACGUUUGGAUGACAAUUCAAAAUGGUAAAAUGUUACGCUUCGCCUGCACAAUUCAUAAAGAUUUUACAGAAGAUCUAAUUCACCCAUG